rnacentral:rRNA from 1 species
AUUGAACGCUGGCGGCAGGCCUAACACAUGCAAGUCGAGCGAGCGGCGGACGGGUGAGUAAUGUCUGGGAAACUGCCUGCUGGAGGGGGAUAACUACUGGAAACGGUAGCUAAUACCGCAUACCAUCGGAUGUGCCCAGAUGGGAUUUGCUAGUAGGGGGGGUAACGGCUCACCUAGGCGACGAUCCCUAGCUGGUCUGAGAGGAUGACCAGCCACACGGGAACUGAGACACGGUCCAGACUCCUACGGGAGGCAGCAGUGGGGAAUAUUGCGCAAUGGGCGCAAGCCUUAUGCAGCCAGGCCGCGUGUGUGAAGAAGGCCUUCGGGUUGUAAAGCACUUUCAGCGGGGAGGCGUUACAAACAGAAUAAGCACCGGCUAACUGCGUGCCAGCCGCCGCGGUAAUUC